rnacentral:lncRNA from 1 species
ACUCUGCUCAUGUCCCCUCACUUCAGGGUGAACAGGGACCAGGAGGGAAUGAUGGGAAGAAGGGUGACAAGGGUGAAUCUGGUGCUGAGGGUCCAGUAGGAGGCAAGGGAGACCAAGGGCCUCCAGGACCACCGAUCGUCAUCAAAGUCUCAGACGACGGUGCCUCUGUAGAUGAUAUAAGGAAAGCUUUCCCCAUGCCGAUGGGUCCUCCUGGAGUGAUGGUGAGUUAGCUUACUGUAUAGAUAGUGCUCUCACAUGGGCUCAUUCAUUGCUCAGGAAACACU